CGCCGUCAGUGCUUCCUUCUGUUCCAAUAGGGCGCCGUUCUUUGCUUCUUCCUCUUUUGGCUUUUUUGUUUUUCUUCGCAUCGUUCUCUUUCACGCCGGUCGCAGUAACGACGUCGCCGAUGCGUUUCUGUCGUCGCUUCCUCCGUCGACGAUCGUGCCCUGCAAUCAGCCAAAGCUAAUCUCACGGAUAGCAUGGCCGAGCGGGUGAUAGUGCUUCUUUGAUCUCGCCCUUGUAGCUGAUUUUAUAAUCGUACUUUGAUUAUUGACGCUGGUUGCAGCGGCGACGUCGCCGAUCCUCUUCUGUCGUCGGUUCCUCCGUCGACGAUCGGGUCCUGCAAUCAGCCAAAGCUCUAACUGGUUUUCAUUGCCGGACGUUUCUCGUAGAGUUUAUUGAUUCGAUUGGAUCAACUUGACGACUUGAUAUCAGCGGUGUAGAUCAAGUGAUGAUGUAGCUUUAUAGGAGCACAGAGGGCUCUAGAACAUGGAGCAUAAGAUUGAAGUGUGAUUGUUGAGCUUGUUGCCUCAAAACUGCCUUGGAUCAGGUCUCACGGAGAAGCUUGAGCUUGAUGGACUGCUAGACGAGUAGUUGACCAUAUGAAAAAUAUUAGAAUCUUGAGAAAUAAAAACAGCGACGAAUAAAAUCUGAAUAAAUUUGGAUCAUAAUCAGUCUCCACAUCUUAAAAUGGACAUCUGAAGGUUGUAUUUAAUUAUAUUUUCAUAAUGUAAUUUAUUUCACAAAUAUUUAUUAA